GAUGAAGAACGCAGCGAAAAGCGAUACGUAAUGUGAAUUGCAGAUUUCAGUGAAUCAUCGAAUCUUUGAACGCACAUUGCGCCCGCUAGUAUUCUGGCGGGCAUGCCUGUUCGAGCGUCAUUUCAACCAUCAAGCCCUAGGCUUGCGUUGGAGCCCUGCGGCUGCCGCAGGCUCCCAAAUCCAGUGGCGGGCUCGUCGUCGUACCGAGUGCAGUAAACAUCCUCGCUCAGGGAACGUGACGGGUUCUUGCCGUGAAACCCCCCACAUAUCAAGGUUGACCUCGGAUCAGGUAGGAAUACCCGCUGAACUUAAGCAUAUCAAUAAGCGGAGGA
rnacentral:misc_RNA from 1 species